UACAGAGGGUGCUAGCGUUGUUCGGAAUUAUUGGGCGUAAAGGGCGCGUAGGCGGCGCCGUAUGUCGGGUGUGAAAGCCCACCUCUUAAAGGUGGAAUUGCAUUCGAAACUACGGCGCUCGAGUCUCGGAGAGGAUGGCGGAAUUCCUGGUGUAGAGGUGAAAUUCGUAGAUAUCAGGAGGAACACCGGUGGCGAAGGCGGCCAUCUGGACGAAGACUGACGCUGAGGCGCGAAAGCGUGGGGAUCAAACAGG
rnacentral:rRNA from 1 species